GAUGAACGCUAGCGGCAGGCUUAACACAUGCAAGUCGAGGGGCAGCAUGAUGAAACUUUCGGGUUUCAUUGAUGGCGACCGGCGCAAGGGUGCGUAACGCGUGAGCAACUUGCCCUUAUCAGGGGAAUAACCGGUGGAAACGCCGACUAAUACCCCAUAGUAUCACUUGAAGGCAUCUUUUAGUGAUUAAAGAAUUUCGGAUAAGGAUAGGCUCGCGUGACAUUAGCUAGAUGGCGGGGUAACGGCCCACCAUGGCGACGAUGUCUAGGGGUUCUGAGAGGAAGGUCCCCCACACUGGAACUGAGACACGGUCCAGACUCCUACGGGAGGCAGCAGUGAGGAAUAUUGGUCAAUGGCCGAGAGGCUGAACCAGCCAUGCCGCGUGCAGGAAGACGGCUCUAUGAGUUGUAAACUGCUUUUGUACAAGGGUAAACCUCGGUACGAGUACCGAGCUGAAAGUACUGUACGAAUAAGGAUCGGCUAACUCCGUGCCAGCAG
rnacentral:rRNA from 1 species